CGUUCCGCCCCUUAUAGAAUCGAUUAUUGAUGGGAAGAUAUUAUUUAACUAUCCAAAAUAUUAUUUAAUUAUUUUCAGAAUUAUUUUCUUUCAAUGUUUAUUCAAAUAGAACUUAAACCCAUCUCAGAAUUUUUAAAUGCUUGAUGACGUCACAUUUAAAACGUGGCAACAUUGGUUUCCCCACUUUGACAGCCAAUGCUUAGUAGAGAGGUACGAAGGAUUCAGCUGUGAACGUGAGCCUUGGAUUGCCAUUGUUUCUCGAGUGUUCGGUCUGAAUCGUAGUGUGCGGGGUCAUUAGACUCAAUUAUUCACCUCUAAUUCUCAGUUCCAAAUUGAUUAAAUAUUACAAUAAAAGUAUAGUGAAGUUAUCCAGCAGCAGUGGAUUUGAAGAAUUUUAGAGCAUACUAUAUCCAAUGAGUUCUACCCCGCACCUACCAUGAAAUCUUAAAGCCACCCUACAACAACACCAAGGCCAGACCACACAAAGAGAAACAAUCAAUAGGCGACCAGCCUGGAUUAUUUCCACAUUUUCUUUUUUUGAGUACCUCCAGCUGCUUUCCAACAGUUUUGAGUACCUUCAGCUGCUUUCUACCAGUCUUCCUCUCCUGUACCUCCAGCAGGACAGCUGCUAGCGAGAGUUAGCACCCUUGGGUGCUCAUUACAUCAACUUCAAGAUUAGGAAAGAGUGGUUUGUUUGGGAACAUUUACUGUGCUCUUAUUAAAGACAGACUGGUUUUGUGAUAUUUAGUACAUUUUUUUUUUAUAGUUCAAUUGCACACACAUUUUUCCUGCUUUAUAUUUUUUAUAGGUUUUUUUUUUCUUUACAACAUAAUAUUUAAUUGAUAGCGUUCCCCAACACUCUGCAAUCUAUAAAGGUAUAAAUUUCUGAGCUCAGAUAUUUUCCCUGAUAAUAGUAGUCGGUACUCUUAUCUUGAUUAUUUUUAGGCUGUGUUCCACUUUUGUAUAAUUAUUUAAACUCAUUCCAUUAUUUUAGUAUAUGUUUAAUUAAAUUUUUAAAAAUUAACUUCACAUAUUAGUCAAAAUUGUAAUUAUUAACUUUAUUUAACUUGAACUUAUUAACUUUACUUAACUUUAACUUAUUAACUUUAUUUAACUUUAACUUUAAUUUAUUAAAUUCAUAUGAACUUCUGGAUUCUAAUCCCUCAGAUUAGUUUUUGGUUUCACUUGUUAUUAUUACUAUUAUAAACCACGAGUUAGGAAAAGGAUCUGUGUAUCCACUCGUAGGUUUAUUUAUUCAAUAAGGCUUGUGCCUGUCCCACUCACAGUGAGGUAUUUAUAUGUUAUAUAUAGUAUCAGGUAGUAUUUAAUUAAGGUGUACGUAUUAUAAACGUACAAUUAUUAUUUGGUGAGGGUUCUACUAACCUAGUUGUAAGUUGUACUUCCUGUAUUAGAGGUACCCGUAGUCAGUUUUUCUAACCUUAUAAAGAGUAUUCUUAGAUCAUAGUUGUAUGAUGAUUUUGUAAUUGACUUUCACUAGUAUCACUUUUUCCUGUCAUGUUAGAGUUACACACUAGUUACUUGUCCUAACUCAGAGAUUGUUAAAAAGAUCUAGUAGUUACAUUCAAUAAAUAUACAUUUAUUGUGA